CUGCAAACUAGAUCACUAGCUCUGCAUGAUGUUGCAGUUGCAAGGGGAACACGUUUGCUAAAUGAAUUUGGAGAAGGUAAAUUCAAGCCUGGAAGUCUUGUCUUCUGGGUAAUUUAAUGCCUUCUCCAACAAUC